CCUACGGGCGGCAGCAGUGGGGAAUAUUGGACAAUGGGGGGAACCCUGAUCCAGCCAUGCCGCGUGUGUGAAGAAGGCCCUCGGGUUGUAAAGCACUUUCAGUGAGGAAGAACGCCUGGUGGUUAAUACCCAUCAGGAAAGACAUCACUCACAGAAGAAGCACCGGCUAACUCCGUGCCAGCAGCCGCGGUAAUACGGAGGGUGCGAGCGUUAAUCGGAAUUACUGGGCGUAAAGCGCGCGUAGGUGGCUUGAUAAGCCGGUUGUGAAAGCCCCGGGCUCAACCUGGGAACGGCAUCCGGAACUGUCAAGCUAGAGUGCAGGAGAGGAAGGUAGAAUUCCCGGUGUAGCGGCGAAAUGCGUAGAGAUCGGGAGGAAUACCAGUGGCGAAGGCGGCCUUCUGGACUGACACUGACACUGAGGUGCGAAAGCGUGGGUAGCAAACAGGAUUAGAUACCCGAGUAGUC
rnacentral:rRNA from 1 species